rnacentral:lncRNA from 1 species
AAUUAAUUGAAUUAACAAAUAUCAAAUGAUGUCCUAAAUUUCAUAAAUCUUUACUCUCCCAUAAUUACGUAUUUUUAAUCCUUUUAAAAAAAUCCUGAUAAAAUCUGUUUCAUAUUGUCAUAGCAAGUACCACGAAAUGAAUAAAAGAUGUAUUUACCUUCUGAAUAGGAGGCAGUCUCCUAUACCCAGAAUUCUGCAAUAAUAUCAAUACAUAAGUGCUAAAUGAACAAAUAAAAAUUGCAAAUAAAAUAAAAUAAUAAUGAUAAUAAUAAAA